CUUUUUGUUUCUUGAAAUAUGACAGACAGUAUGGCGUUCAAAUCGUUCAUAAUUCAAUAUUAUAGCUCUAAUUGGGACUAAAAUUUUUUUCGUCAUGCACAAUCUCGGCAAUGGAAAUAUCCUACUGAUUGUGAGUAAUUCCAGGGUGUUAUAUUUAUCUUGAAAAGCGUCACUAGGGUGAAUAAAUUUAUAAAAUCCGAUAAAGAACAGUGUUGAACCUUAAUCACUAUCACAGCAAACUGAAAAUAAU
rnacentral:misc_RNA from 1 species